rnacentral:lncRNA from 1 species
CCAAAUUUAACAGCAAUCACAAAUGCGACUUAGAUUGAUUCUACUGUUCUUGCUCACCUCGUAGUCUGAGAGCAAAUGGAGUAAGAGCAACGACGCAUCUGAUAAUAACGUCCGAGUAGUGGAUGAUGAUGAUAGACGGAUUAUGAGUCGGCGGCGAAGAGAUAGAUAUCGAGUGACUGAGAUUGAGUCGGAGAGACUUCAGCGAGAGUUUGGACGACGGCGGAGUUGGGACUUGAAUGACGGAGAGAGAGUUUUUU